AUAAAUUAGCAAAGGUGUUAUUGUAUCUUUCUUAAGAAUUUAACCAGCAACUGAAGAACAGAAUGCGUCUAAAUGAACUAAAAUAUCCUACAAUUCGGUAGAACGCAACCAGCAGGACUGAUUGGAUGAUGUACUUGAUGAGCAAAUGUUUUACUAUGCAAACUGAUGAAACAUUCGAUUCAGGUGGCUGAUAUUGAUAUCCUGGUGAGGGAUAUAAGGUGGACGGAUGAUGGAAUUCAACGUUUGGCAGCCCAUAUGAAGCAAAGCAGAUACACACACCAAGAACUCGACCUAGAUUUGAGCUCAACCAUUCAUCG